UACGGAGGGUGCAAGCGUUAUCCGGAUUUACUGGGUUUAAAGGGCGCGUAGGCGGUGUUGUAAGUCACUUGUGAAAUCUCUGAGCUUAACUCAGAACGGCCAAGUGAUACUGCAGCACUAGAGUGCAGAAGGGGCAAUCGGAAUUCUUGGUGUAGCGGUGAAAUGCGUAGAUAUCAAGAGGAACACCUGAGGUGAAGACGGGUUGCUGGGCUGACACUGACGCUGAGGCGCGAAAGCUAGGGGAGCAAACGGG
rnacentral:rRNA from 1 species